rnacentral:rRNA from 1 species
GAUGAACGCUGGCGGCGUGCCUAACACAUGCAAGUCGAGCGGCAGCGAGGGGUGCUUGCACCCUGUCGGCGAGCGGCGGACGGCUGAGUAACGCGUGGGAACGUGCCCCAAAGUGAGGAAUAACUGCCCGAAAUGGUAGCUAAUACCGCAUAUUAUCUUCGGAUCAAAGGAUUUAUCCGCUUUGGGAGCGGCUCGCGUCGGAUUAGGUAGUUGGUGAGGUAAUGGCUCACCAAGCCGACGAUCCGUAGCUGGUCUGAGAGGAUGACCAGCCAGACUGGAACUGAGACACGGUCCAGACUCCUACGGGAGGCAGCAGUGAGGAAUCUUCCACAAUGGGCGAAAGCCUGAUGGAGCAACGCCGCGUGCAGGACGAAGGCCUUCGGGUUGUAAACUGCUUUUAUAAGUGAGGAAUAUGACGGUAACUUAUGAAUAAGGAUCGGCUAACUACGUG